rnacentral:tRNA from 1 species
GGCUGUUUAGCUCAGCUGGCUAGAGCGUUCGAUUCACAUUCGAAAGGUCGGGGGUUCAAGUCCCUCAACAGCCACCA